GCUCCGGUGGCCUAGUGGCUAGAACGUCCGCCUCACAUGCUGGAGGUCGUGGGUUCAAUCCUCAGUUGAGUCA